CAAUAAGCGGAGGAAAAGAAACCAACAGGGAUUGCUCUAGUAACGGCGAGUGAAGCAGCAAUAGCUCAAAUUUGAAAUCUGGCGUCUUCGACGUCCGAGUUGUAAUUUGUAGAGGAUGCUUCUGAGUAACCACCGACCUAAGUUCCUUGGAACAGGACGUCAUAGAGGGUGAGAAUCCCGUAUGCGGUCGGAAAGGUGCCCUAUACGUAGCUCCUUCGACGAGUCGAGUUGUUUGGGAAUGCAGCUCUAAAUGGGAGGUAAAUUUCUUCUAAAGCUAAAUAUUGGCCAGAGACCGAUAGCGCACAAGUAGAGUGAUCGAAAGAUGAAAAGCACUUUGGAAAGAGAGUUAAAAAGCACGUGAAAUUGUUAAAAGGGAAGGGAUUGCAACCAGACUUGCUCGCGGUGUUCCGCCGGUCUUCUGACCGGUCUACUCGCCGCGUUGCAGGCCAGCAUCGUCUGGUGCCGCUGGAUAAGACUUGAGGAAUGUAGCUCCCUCGGGAGUGUUAUAGCCUCUUGUGAUGCAGCGAGCG
rnacentral:rRNA from 1 species